CUUGAGCGACCGCUUCAGAAUCGGGAUGAGCC
rnacentral:scRNA from 1 species